rnacentral:rRNA from 1 species
UUUUGUGGAGGGUUCGAUUCUGGCUCAGGAUGAACGCUGGCGGCGUGCUUAACACAUGCAAGUCGAACGGGAUCCCAGGAGCUUGCUCCUGGGUGAGAGUGGCGAACGGGUGAGUAAUGCGUGACCG